UCACACAACCAUAUGACUUAUACACAGCAGGAGACUUUCAUGUAUAAUAAUCAAUGAUUAUUACACAACCAUAUGACUUAUACACAGCAGGAGACUUUGAUUAUGAGGUCAACUGGGUUAGUAUAAGUUCUUAUAAGCACAUUAAUAAUCAUUGAUGCCUGUAAAAUAACUCUCGUCUAAAAAAGGAACUGAAUACUUGCAAUUUAACUUUGAAGCUUAAACCCUUAUACUUGCAACAUCCCUUCUCCGUCCACUGUUUAUGCCUCAGAUUCCUCAUAAUCAUGCGUCAAGCUUUUUCAGCAAAAUUUGAGAAGAAUAGUGCACAUAGGGAGUGGAAGAGGAAACUCAUGCAGCACUGCCCCAUAAGCUUGUAAUGAUCAUGUUGAUCCUUUCCUCCAUCAUCACUCCAGAUACCAUUGCCCCACUACCUCUUGCAUAGCUUGUGUGACCAAGCUGGUCAAUCCACAUCACAAUUAAAUGUUCCUGGGCAAGAGUCAGGUCAAAACUGAGCUAGAUAGACCAAGUCCCAAUUCGUACCAUGAUUUCUAGCAAGUUGUUUGACAUUCUGGAACAAUAUUACAUGGUUAAUCAUAACCAUAUCUCAAGUAGUCAACAUUUCCACGUGUUU
rnacentral:lncRNA from 1 species